GACGAACGCUGGCGGCGUGCUUAACACAUGCAAGUCGAACGGAAAGGCCCUGCUUGCCGGGUACUCGAGUGGCGAACGGGUGAGUAACACGUGGGUGAUCUGCCCUGCACUUCGGGAUAAGCCUGGGAAACUGGGUCUAAUACCGGAUAGGAGCCAUUUUUAGUGUGAUGGUUGGAAAGUUUUUUCGGUGUAGGAUGAGCUCGCGGCCUAUCAGCUUGUUGGUGGGGUAAUGGCCUACCAAGGCGGCGACGGGUAGCCGGCCUGAGAGGGUGGACGGCCACAUUGGGACUGGGAUACGGCCCAGACUCCUACGGGAGGCAGCAGUGGGGAAUAUUGCACAAUGGGCGCAAGCCUGAUGCAGCGACGCCGCGGGGGGGAUGACGGCCUUCGGGUUGGAAACUCCUUUCGCUAGGGACGAAGCUUUUUGUGACGGUACCUAGAUAAGAAGCACCGGCUAACUACGUG
rnacentral:rRNA from 1 species